CCCUUAGAUGUUCUGAACCGCACGCGUGUUACACUGAUGCAUUCAACGAGCUUUACCUUGGCCGAGAGGCCUGGGAAAUCUUUUUAGCAUGCAUCGUGAUAGGGAUUGAUUAUUGCAAUUAUUAAUCAUGAACGAGGAAUUCCUAGUAAACGCAUUUCAUCAAAAUGCAUUGAUUACGCCCCUGCCCUUUGUACACACCGCCCGUCGCACCUACCGAUUGAGUGGUCCGGUGAAGUCUCGAGAUUGUGGCAAUCUCCUUUAUUGGAGUUUGACUGCGAGAACUUGCCUAAACCUUAUCACUUAGAGGAAGGUGAAGUCGUAACA
rnacentral:rRNA from 1 species